CCUCCUCCCUUGUUUCUUUUGGCAAAGACAUUUCCUAUCUUUCUCCCAUGUCACACAAAAGGAAGCACCCAAUCUGCUUUGCAGUCAUCUCUCAAUACACACAUGCUAUACAGCAAGCAAACACAUCCUUCCUCCUGCGCUGCAGGCUGGGAUCCAAGUCUGACAAUAAGUAAUGAAGAGACUGAAAUGCUACACAGUCCAUGCACAGUGUAGCCAGAAGCUCUGAAAGGCAGAGGUCAUUGUACAACAUUCGGAUGUUUGAUUCUUUGCUGUUACAGAAAGCAUUCACUUCACAAAUAUUAUCAAGCAGGUUCAAAUAUACCAGCAGCUCAUGUGACUCCUACUGCCACAUUCAGAGGUCUCUAGAAAGCAGUGAACUGAAGAUUCACCUAAAUCCUUGUGUUUGCUAACAAUUAUGUGCAAAAACUGCACUUAAAAAUAUGAAGGGAGAGAUGGUAGGACCUUGGCAGUGUCCAGAGCAGGAAGACAGAGCAGUGAUGAUGGUAGCGCUAUGACUUACCUACAGACUUCCUAACAUCCUCAUGUUCAGAGGGGAUUAGCUCAUCUGCGAUCAAAGCAGAAGUUAAAAAACCUAAAGUCGUAGCCGCCCAUUUCAAUACAGUGAGAAGAAGGUGGCAAGGAAGAAAUUAAGGUUGUGGACAGCCAAGAUUUUUGUCUAGUUUCUUCACAGUGACACUGCAUUCCACUUAAUGGGCUCAGUGCUGAACUUCCUUUGACAGUGUUUUGUGACUGAGGCAUGCUGCUGAGUGAAGCAAAAGGCACCUCACAAGCUGAUUUUACCACCUACAGUGGGUAAUGGUAGACCUCAUUCAGAACACCAGUGUCACUUUCCUUUCACUUCCAAGAGAAGUAAAGCUACAUGU